CCUACGGGAGGCUGCAGUGAGGAAUAUUGGUCAAUGGACGAGAGUCUGAACCAGCCAAGUAGCGUGAAGGAUGACUGCCCUAUGGGUUGUAAACUUCUUUUAUAUGGGAAUAAAAUGUUCUACGUGUGUGAUUUUGUAUGUACCUUAUGAAUAAGGAUCGGCUAACUCCGUGCCAGCAGCCGCGGUAAUACGGAGGAUCCGAGCGUUAUCCGGAUUUAUUGGGUUUAAAGGGAGCGUAGGUGGAUUGUUAAGUCAGUUGUGAAAUGUUGUGGCUCAACCGUAAAAUUGCAGUUGAUACUGGCAGUCUUGAGUACAGUAGAGGUAGGCGGAAUGCGUGGUGUAGCGGUGAAAUGCUUAGAGAUCACGAAGAACUCCGAUUGCGAAGGCAGCUUACUGGACUGCAACUGACGCUGAGGCUCGAAAGUGUGGGUAUCAAACAGGAUUAGAUACCCGUGUAGUC
rnacentral:rRNA from 1 species